rnacentral:Y_RNA from 1 species
GGCUGAUCCGAAAGUAGUGAGUUAUCUCACUUGAUUGUUCACAGUCCAUUGCAGAUUGAACUACUUGUUCUAUUACUUUCCCCUCUUCUCACUACUGUACUUGACUAGUCUUUU